rnacentral:tRNA from 1 species
GGGCGGGUGGCGGAAUUGGCAUACGCGCUAGCUUAAGGAGCUAGUGGGGCAACCCAUGCAGGUUCAAGUCCUGUCCCGCCCACCA